rnacentral:rRNA from 1 species
GACGAACGCUGGCGGCGUGCUUAACACAUGCAAGUCGAACGAAGAGCGACGGAAGCUUGCUUCUAUCAAUCUUAGUGGCGAACGGGUGAGUAACGCGUAAUCAACCUGCCCUUCAGAGGGGGACAACAGUUGGAAACGACUGCUAAUACCGCAUACGAUCUAAUCUCGGCAUCGAGGAUGGAUGAAAGGUGGCCUCUACAUGUAAGCUAUCACUGAAGGAGGGGAUUGCGUCUGAUUAGCUAGUUGGAGGGGUAACGGCCCACCAAGGCGAUGAUCAGUAGCCGGUCUGAGAGGAUGAACGGCCACAUUGGGACUGAGACACGGCCCAGACUCCUACGGGAGGCAGCAGUGGGGAAUCUUCCGCAAUGGACGAAAGUCUGACGGAGCAACGCCGCGUGAGUGAUGACGGCCUUCGGGUUGUAAAGCUCUGUUAAUCGGGACGAAAGGCCUUCUUGCGAAUAGUGAGGAGGAUUGACGGUACCGGAAUAGAAAGCCACGGCUAACUACGUG